rnacentral:rRNA from 1 species
GACGAACGCUGUCGGCGUGCUUAACACAUGCAAGUCGAACGGAAAGGCCCUGCUUUUGUGGGGUGCUCGAGUGGCGAACGGGUGAGUAACACGUGAGUAACCUGCCCUUGACUUUGGGAUAACUUCAGGAAACUGGGGCUAAUACCGGAUAGGAGCUCCUGCUGCAUGGUGGGGGUUGGAAAGUUUCGGCGGUUGGGGAUGGACUCGCGGCUUAUCAGCUUGUUGGUGGGGUAGUGGCUUACCAAGGCUUUGACGGGUAGCCGGCCUGAGAGGGUGACCGGCCACAUUGGGACUGAGAUACGGCCCAGACUCCUACGGGAGGCAGCAGUGGGGAAUAUUGCACAAUGGGCGGAAGCCUGAUGCAGCAACGCCGCGUGCGGGAUGACGGCCUUCGGGUUGUAAACCGCUUUCGCCUGUGACGAAGCGUGAGUGACGGUAAUGGGUAAAGAAGCACCGGCUAACUACGUGCCAGCAGCCGCGGUGAUACGUAGGGUGCGAGCGUUGUCCGGAUUUAUUGGGCGUAAAGGGCUCGUAGGUGGUUGAUCGCGUCGGAAGUGUAAUCUUGGGGCUUAACCCUGAGCGUGCUUUCGAUACGGGUUGACUUGAGGAAGGUAGGGGAGAAUGGAAUUCCUGGUGGAGCGGUGGAAUGCGCAGAUAUCAGGAGGAACACCAGUGGCGAAGGCGGUUCUCUGGGCCUUUCCUGACGCUGAGGAGCGAAAGCGUGGGGAGCGAACAGGCUUAGAUACCCUGGUAGUCCACGCUGUAAACGGUGGGUACUAGGUGUGGGGUCCAUUCCACGGGUUCCGUGCCGUAGCUAACGCUUUAAGUACCCCGCCUGGGGAGUACGGCCGCAAGGCUAAAACUCAAAGGAAUUGACGGGGCCCCGCACAAGCGGCGGAGCAUGCGGAUUAAUUCGAUGCAACGCGUAGAACCUUACCUGGGUUUGACAUGGAUCGGGAGUGCUCAGAGAUGGGUGUGCCUCUUUUGGGGUCGGUUCACAGGUGGUGCAUGGCUGUCGUCAGCUCGUGUCGUGAGAUGUUGGGUUAAGUCCCGCAACGAGCGCAACCCUUGUUCACUGUUGCCAGCACGUUAUGGUGGGGACUCAGUGGAGACCGCCGGGGUCAACUCGGAGGAAGGUGGGGAUGACGUCAAGUCAUCAUGCCCCUUAUGUCCAGGGCUUCACGCAUGCUACAAUGGCUGGUACAGAGAGUGGCGAGCCUGUGAGGGUGAGCGAAUCUCGGAAAGCCGGUCUCAGUUCGGAUUGGGGUCUGCAACUCGACCUCAUGAAGUCGGAGUCGCUAGUAAUCGCAAAUCAGCAACGCUGCGGUGAAUACGUUCCCGGG